ACCAGGUGUGGUGGCGCAUGCCUGAAAUCCCAGCAACUCAGGAGGCAGAAGCAGGAGGAUCACAAAUUUGAGGACGGCCUCAGCAAGUUGGUGAGGCCCUAAGCAAUUUAGUGAGGUUCUGUCUCAA
rnacentral:sRNA from 1 species